CCCGCUGAACUUAAGCAUAUCAAUAAGCGGAGGAAAAGAAACUAACAAGGAUUCCCCUAGUAACUGCGAGUGAAGCGGGAAAAGCUCAAAUUUAAAAUCUGGCGGUCCUCUGGCUGUCCGAGUUGUAAUCUGGAGAAGUGUUUUCCGCGUCGGACCGUGUACAAGUCUUCUGGAACGGAGCGUCAUAGAGGGUGAGAAUCCCGUCUCUGACACGGACCGCCGACGCUUCAUGUGAUACGCUCUCGAAGAGUCGAGUUGUUUGGGAAUGCAGCUCAAAAUGGUGGUAAAUUCCAUCUAAAGCUAAAUACUGGCGAGAGACCGAUAGCGAACAAGUACCGUGAGGGAAAGAUGAAAGCACUUGGGGAAAGAGAGUUAAACAGUACGUGAAAUGUUGUGAAGGAAACGUUUGAAGUCAGUCGCGUUGGCCGGGACUCAGCCUUGCUAUCUUGCUUGGUGCACUUCUCGGUCGACGGGUCAGCAUCAAUUUUGACCGUCGGAUAAAGGCCGAGGGAACGUGGCAUCCUCCGGGGUGUGUUAUAGCCCUUGGUUCGCAUACGGCGAUCGGGAUUGAGGAACUCAGUGCGCCUUCAUUGGUCGGGGCUUCGCGGCUCACGUUAACGCGCUUAGGAUGCUGGCAUAAUGGCUUUAAGCGACCCGUCUUGAAACACGG
rnacentral:rRNA from 1 species